AAGAGGAUAUAUACGACUAUGCUUGAAUAGGUUUAUAAUUUACUCAUUGAAAUGAAAACAAUAAUUAGAUAAAAAAAACAAUAAAAGGAACCUCUCCAAAAGUUAAGUGAACAAGAACCCUAAAAUAUCAAGGGUCAACACUAUGACACACCACCUUUCUCUGAUUUUUCUUAAAGCAAGGCUUUAAUAUUACAUUUGUAAGAGUUUGCGAUCUAUUCAUCUACAAAUUUAUUUUGCACAACUUUAAUUUAAACAUUUUCAAGAUUAAAAUGAUAAAUGAAGCUGAUAAAGAAAACAAUCAAGAGUUGACAAAAUAUAAUUAUAUAUUCAAAACUAGUUUCUAGAAAAAUACAUACGAAUAGCUCAGAACAAUACACACUCAA
rnacentral:lncRNA from 1 species